rnacentral:rRNA from 1 species
AUGAAAGGUCCGGUGACUGAAGGUGGCAGUGUGGCCGGGUCUGUUGAUGCUGCUCUAUAUCGUCUCGCUGACCCCGUGGGGGAGGGAGUGACUGCUCAACCUGGAGCCGACGCUCGGCUGGGCACCAAGGUGGACGUGGUUGCCGGGGGUGGCGAACAAGGCCUGGCUGCCUCCGGUGGCUCGACGAAGUUGGCGCGCUGGAGAAGGCUUCACGGAGAGGAGCAGGAGGAACGGGCCGUCGUUCAGGCAGCGUGUGUGAAGCACGUACAGUUUGGGGUCCCAACCCCUCCGAACAGUGGCAGCGACCUGUCCGGUCGCAAGGCCGCCUUUGCUGAUAUUUUGGAGAGCUCGACGGGCAACAAGAAAAGAUUUUUGGGGGACCAAGACCUUGUUCUUACUUUUGAUAGUAUUAGUGCUGAGAGCUUUGAGUGGAGGGGAGCCGGUGUGGUUCUUCCAGCUUGUAAGAAGGUGUGUGGGGAGUGGAAGCUCAGGCAGAUAUAG